rnacentral:rRNA from 1 species
UACGUAGGGCGCAAGCGUUGUCCGGAAUUAUUGGGCGUAAAGAGCUCGUAGGCGGUUUGUCGCGUCUGCUGUGAAAACCUAAGGCUCAACCUUGGGCUUGCAGUGGGUACGGGCAGACUAGAGUGCGGUAGGGGGUGACUGGAAUUCCUGGCGUAGCGGUGGAAUGCGCAGAUAUCAGGAGGAACACCGAUGGCGAAGGCAGGUCACUGGGCCGCAACUGACGCUGGAGGAGCGAAAGCAUGGGGAGCGAACAGG